rnacentral:rRNA from 1 species
UACGAAGGGUGCAAGCGUUACUCGGAAUUACUGGGCGUAAAGCGUGCGUAGGUGGUGAGUUAAGUCUGUCGUGAAAGCCCCGGGCUCAACCUGGGAAUGGCGAUGGAUACUGGCUCGCUAGAGUGCGGUAGAGGAGAGUGGAAUUCCCGGUGUAGCAGUGAAAUGCGUAGAGAUCGGGAGGAACAUCAGUUGCGAAGGCGGCUCUCUGGACCAGCACUGACACUGAGGAGCGAAAGCGUGGGGAGCGAACAGG